rnacentral:lncRNA from 1 species
GAAGAAUAGGAAUCCCAUGUAAACCGGGCAGUGAACCUGGUGCCUUAACACUGCGCUCGCAGUCAGCUUCAUCAGCUUGGGAUAGCGCAUCAGGGUUCACCUCUAUGACUCCGUUGAGCACCGGGUUGAGCCUGUGGAUUUCUCCGAGGUAAAAUUCAACCAGCUGCCGGGACGUAAGCUUGUUUUGCUUGAACGCGAGCUGGAGAUCCUUGAUAGUUGCUUCUCUUAUUGGGAAUUCAUCGUCUGAUCGAUCGGUUGACAUGGCUAGAAGAAUCAGGAGUAGAUGUGAAAAGAAAGGAAAGGUCAAUGACAUAUUAUUAUUGGUAGUCUUUUGUUAAACAAUUUUAGGGGAAUAUUCCUUUAGAAUUGGCCGGGGGAGCAGCUGCGCGGUGGCAGCGCAGCUGCCCCAAACGGGUUUAUAAUUAUAUAUCACUUUUGCUUUGUUUGGCUUAGAGUUGUGACUUGUGAUGAGAUGGAAGAUAUUGAAUGCUCGGUCUAUUUGUACAACCGUGUUGCAUGUAACAUAUUGAGUUCUGUCCCAAAAAAACAAAAAUGUGCAACAUAUAUGUGCGUGUGCGUGUGUAUAUAUAUAUAUAUGUAUUGAGUCAUUGACGAUGCCGCGAUGAAGUUGACUUAAUAAUUAUCUUGAUAAGAGAAUACAUAGUUGAUUAAAUUUUAACCGUUAAUUGUUAUAAAUGUCAUAAUUAUUAAAAAAUAAAUAUAAUUAGGUCUCUAUUGAAAAUUUGAAUCCAAUUACGAUGUUCUAAUAAUAUUAUGUCUGGCGCGUACAUUUAUAAUAAGAUAUGAUUAAAAUUUAAUUAUUUGUAUAAUGACAAUCAAAUUUAAAGAAAUUGCAUAAAAAGGUAAACAAAUUCACAAAAAUACCCAUUUUGCAAAGUAUUUAUCUAUGACAUAUAAUCAUAUGAAUAUACAUUGCCUUCGAGGGCCUGAGAGUAGCACUUUAAUUCCUUUGUAUUUUCUUUAUUGUUAUUUUAUCUGUAGCAUGGUGUUUAUUCUUUUUACCAUUAUUUUGCACUAUUAAAUUCUUAUUAUAUCACUUGACCAUCUUUAUCCAUUGACAGAAUAUCUGAACCCUAAUUAACCAAAAAUAAAGAAAAAGGAACAGGUCAAUUCAAUCAUGAGUUUUUAAUUAAUUAGGUGAUUUUAUGAUAUUAAAAAAAUUGAUUAAAUGGGAUUUUCCAAAAAAGGGGAGCCAAUCACACCCACCAUAGUUAUUAACGUUAUAAUUUAUAUCAAUAAAAAAGGUUGAAUUUUAUUUGAUAGAAUCUAAUAGUUCAAGUUACCCCUGCAUUACGAUAGUGGGGGGUUUUCGAAAAUGGAUAUUCAAGACUUGAAUGAAGGAGGCUUCCUAAUUUUGGUAGCUUGCUCAAAGCCAUAGGCAACCUCAAGGAGCUUUGGCUCUGAACCCUUCAAUCCUCCAAAACAAAUGCCAAAAGGUUCACCAUCACCAGCAUAUACAGCAGGAACAUUGAUUCCUGGGAACCCACCGACUGCCAGAAGCGUAGAAACAGCAUAUCCUGGUGUCACCAAUGCGUCAAGCUUGUUCCUGGUCAUCAGCUUCUCAAAACCAUCUCUUGUAAACUUUUCUAAAUUCAGUAUUGCCGCCUUCUCUUUUUUGCCGAUUCCAUUUGUUGCUUCUGCUAACAGAAAGAAGUCCUGGCCGUAUUCUUUGAUCUUUUCCUGCAUGUAUGGUUAGAUACAUUCGUGUCAUCGGAAUUAUUACCAAAGUUGAUACAAUUACCAAGACAUGUUUGCAUGCUCAAAUGAUGAAGAGUACUUACCAAAUCUGAGAAUUUGUUAUUGAAGGCUAUAACCUCUGCCAAAGAUCGCAAUGGGGAAGUCACAAGCUCCUUGAGAUAUGCAUUUAUGGCCAACUUGAACUCUGCCAGCAUUGCUGUCGUUUCGUCAUUUGCUAUAGAAUUUAGUGAAUUAAUGUUGCCUAUCUCCAGAUGGUCUAUAACAAGUGCACCUUCCUGUCUAGAUUGGAGGAAAAUCAAGUGCAUUGACAUUCAUUCGAGUUAAAGAUCAAGUGUUUGAUGAAAGAGAAGAAAUGUUUGAUGAAAUGCCACAGUGAGACUAUUUCAGCAGUAAAAGCAUAAUUUGAAUUUGGCAGCAGAUGAAACUCUUACAUUAACAGAAGAAAAACAUUCUAGAAGAGUCUUGGAGGAUACAUGAGAACGUUGAAGAUAAAGGGCGGUGAUUCAUUGAGAACGAAGACGAAACCUCAAAACUAUUGUAUUAUCCUAGGCUUAAUCAGUUAAUCUUACCUGUAAAAUAGUAAAAUGGCUUUGCAUAUAAUGCCUGCAAAAGUAUGCUGGAAUAACGAAAAUAAUUUUGCUGCAUUUGUGCUUAUUUCAUUUUGUCUUUAGUUUAGUCACUUAAUUUACUGCAAAAGUAGGCUGGAAUAACAAAAAUGCUUUUAUGCAUAAUUCAACCUGAGUGUGUGCAGAUGGUGAUCAAAAACUUGAGCCAGUGGAGAGCCCUCGUCAAAAUUGAAGAAUGGAUUCCGCACAAUUCCCAAUCUCUUCCCUUUGAGUCCAUGAGGCCUAAGAAACUGUUUGUAGCCACCACGUGGAAUGUAUUCUGAUGCUGCCCUUGUUGCAGGAUCGUAAUGAUCAAAUCCUGCAAUGGCAUCUAGAACAUAAGCAGCAUCCGCUACAGUUCUGCAAAUAGGCCUGCAAGGGAAAAAAAAUGUUCCUUCAUUUGUCAAUUAAUGUUAAAUGCCAUCAGUUCAUAUUGGCAAAGACUCUACAUACCCAACGGAGUCCUGUCUAGGAGUUAUUGGGAUAACGCCGGCUCUGCUGGUGAGACCAAGGGUUGGUUUGAGUCCCACUACUGAGUUAGAACUGGACGGACAGAGAAUGGAACCAUCCGUUUCAGUUCCCAGUGACACGGCAGCCAAGUUUGCAGCUACUGAAAUUGCUGAGCCACUGCUUGACCCACAAGGAUCUGCUGAUAGAACAUAUGGAUUCUGCAAACAAUACCAUCACCAAAAUAAGUCCUAAUAUGCCAAAGCCAAACCUUGUUCUGUUGUCCAGUCCUCGUUUUCAGAUUAUAAAGUAGAAUUUGGUGUUGUCAUUAAUCCAUAUUAAAUCUCCAAAACAGUAGAAUGUGUGCUUGUCUCGUAGAAAACAAUAAUAGAAUAAAAAAAUUUAACAAAUCUACUAAGUGAGAAUAUUUACUUCAAAAUCGCAGUACUAGGUAGUUAAACACUUUAUUUAAAAUUACUAGAUAAAAAUGCUGCUUUGUCCGAAUUUUUUCUCUGAGUAAUCAGACACCAUCUUAGUCAAAUUUUCGGAUUGGUGUGGUAUUUGACUUAUUAGUUGGUUCCACUAGUAAAAUCUCUUUUGAGUAUAUAGUAUAAGAUAUUAUUGAAAACAAAUAGUAUUUGUUUAUUUACUACUUGUUGAUUAAGAUAAGAGGCCACGUGUUUCCAAUCAUUUUACAGAAUACAAAUUUAGUUUUAUUCUUUUUAUUUUUCCAAAAAAAUGGAAGGUAAAUACCAAACUUGCCUUAAUGGCAAUUGGUGUUUAUAGCAUAAAACCAAGUAGCUGACUAACUUUAAGCUCACCUUUCCCUGGCCACCCCUACCACUGAAACCACUGGGUGCUUUGGAGGAUCUAAAGUUAGACCACUCACUCAAGCUGGCCUUUCCCAAAAUAAUGGCACCAGCUUUCCUCAACUUCACCACCACACCAGCAUCCCGGGGCACGACUGAGCCGAGCAGAGCAUACGAGCCAGCAGUGGUGUUCAUCUUGUCCUUCGUUGCAAUGUUAUCCUUAAGAAGAAUCGGAAUCCCGUGCAAGCCCCGCAGAGAGCCUGCUGCCUUAACCUUGCGCUCGUAGUCAGCCUCAUCAGCUUGGGAUAGCGCAUCGGGGUUCACCUCUAUGACGCCGUGAAGCAGCGGGUUGAGCCUGUGGAUUUCUCCGAGGUAAAAUUCAACCAGCUGCCGGGACGUAAGCUUGUUUUGCUUGAAAGCGAGCUGGAGAUCCUUGAUGGUUGCUUCUCUUAUUGGGAAUGCAUGAAUGGCAUUACUCUGAGCUGAUAUGGCUAGAAGAGUCGGAAGGAGCAGAUGGG